AGUGGAAGCAAAACUGUGAGGACAGUGGUGGUCUGAUUAGCUACAGGUUCGAACUACUUCGGCAAAGUCCGUGAAGGCGGUCUGAGAUUUUCAUUUCUCAAUCGUACAACGGUGGUCGCUACGAAGGUCUUGAAAUAGAAGAGAAUCUCUGAUCCGCAUCAUAAAAAUACAUCGCUGCUUUCUGGCUGCUUCGAAGCGAUCCUUCGCGCCGCUCCUCGACUGCGCCCGUUCUAUUCAACCGCGAAAAUUCUGCAGGAAUUUUAAUAACUCGGAUUCGUACUGAUUAAAACGGAGGUCGCAUCCGACAUUUCACCGACCAGUCUCUGGUUACUACUUGGCGGGUAAGUCCAAUAUUUUGCCUCUGUGUAUUUAUUCCUUUUUAAUCCGUAUUCCUUUUCCUUUUGAAGGGAGGGGGCGGCCAGAUUGGGAAAAGAUGGGAGAAAAGUGAAAUACGUGGUUGAAAUUUAUUUAGUUAUGCAAUUAUUUGAGAUUAAUUAGCCUUCCCUAGGUAGGAGGCUAGUCGUUGAUUGUGUAUAUGAAAUCGUAUGGAAUCCUGUGCAAUCUUGUUCGGUGAUAUUAA
rnacentral:lncRNA from 1 species